AAUCUGUCGAGACCGGAAGUCAUGAUCUAACUCUGGAACUGCGAAAAAAAUCUAAAACACCUAUUUACCAUUUAAUAACUUGACUUUGUGGUUGGAAAUUCAUUAUAUUAUCAGUCAGACAAGUACUUCAACAAUGAGAAAAGGUUAAAAAAAAUUGAGGACAGAAAAAGCAGCAGAAAGUGAAAGACUUGAAGAAAUAUAGGGAAUGUAAGUACGAUUAAAUGAUUUUGCUGCUUGUGGCGUUUCCUUGAAGUAGCUCGUUUCCUCCAAAUGAGAUGACAGUCAUGGAUGUUUAGAAAAACAUGCAUGAAAAAAUAGAAGAAUAAGAAAGGGAAAAAGUCAAAUUCACUUGGUCUACAACAAAGGAGCACUUUUGUUUAUUUUAUUCCAAUUCUACCAAGGAGGACAAAAGUAAAGACUUGGAAGAAAAAAGGCAAUUUAUUUAAAUGGACUGGAUUUUGAUAUCAUGAAACCCAAUGUUGAAAAGCACUUCAAAACAGCUUGAAAUCAAUAUCAGCUCUAAGAAAGAUGGUUAGAAAGAUCUUCAACCAAGUCUGAGGCUUAAUCAUGAACUAAA